rnacentral:rRNA from 1 species
UACGUAGGGUGCGAGCGUUGUCCGGAAUUAUUGGGCGUAAAGGGCUCGUAGGCGGUUUGUCGCGUCGGGAGUGAAAACACCGGGCUUAACUCGGUGCUUGCUUUCGAUACGGGCAGACUAGAGGCAUGCAGGGGAGAACGGAAUUCCUGGUGUAGCGGUGAAAUGCGCAGAUAUCAGGAAGAACACCUAUGGCGAAGGCAGCUCUCUGGGACGGUACUGACGCUGAGACGCGAAAGCGUGGGGAGCGAACAGG